AGGGACUGACAUGAUCCAUGACUGAAAACAGCACUGUCAAUCUUCUACCCCAAAGCAUGCAGGCUAACUGAAAGAGCUCAAUAACCACUGGAGCUCAGGAGCCCUCACUUAGUCAUCCCAGUGCCACGUAUCUGCUGCAAACUGACAAGCCUGUAAAAAUGCCUUGAGUAUUUGUUUUUUCUGUUUACAUAGAUCUUAAGAGUCGGUUAGAAAUCUUUUGGGAUCUCGGAAGCUUUCUUUGGAAGAGGAUCCCAAUUCUUCCUUCAGUGUAUCCAUGAAAUGAGCAAGCAGCUACCAUCAGGCUUUCUUUUCCUCCCCUAAGCCUAAAAUCCCAGUUAAUGAGCUGCAGCCACCCAAGGGGAGCCAUGCUGGGAGAGGAAGAAAGAGAGAACAUACAAAGAAGUGACAUACAUGAAUGAUUCAGCAACUAUGGAUAAUGUGAUAACGGCAAUGCCACUGUGGCAUUGCAUUUCUGUCACAUCUGUCCGCUGCUCAUGGCCCUUCUCCAUAUCAGAGAGAACAGGGAAGCCGUGUUUCCAGUUAGGCCGAUAACGCUCUGUCAGGCAGGCCUGUUCCCUGAACUUUCCAGUUGAUACACAUCCUUUCUGGAUUGCCAUGUGGAAAAUUAAGAGACUUUACAUACCAGAAAUGUAAAGAGGUAUCCUGGAAGAGAUACAGCUGGUAGACUAUAGUCUUUAGUUUGACAGAAUGGAAUGCUUCUAGACUUAUGCCUAUGGAAAACUGAAGUGCAGGCAGAGGUGAAGCUGUGCUUAAUCAGUCAAACUGACUGUCGUUGAACUUCAUCAAAAUCUGACACCCCAGAUAAGGUUGUCAGUCACUCCCAGAUGAUGUAUCCAUUACAUUAUGAAUUCAGUAUAUCUGGAGUUGGGUUCUUCUGCACCACACCCUUCUGAAGCUGAGACUUCUGUGCUUUAGCAGACAUUAACUGAAGUAUGAAUUAGCUGUCAUUUUAUUUUGAACAAGCUGUUAGCAUCAAUCAGUUGGAUCAUUGUGCUUGAGUAUGGUUGACUGAGGUAGCUAUUCUAACAGACAGAUAUCCUAUUUGAUUGGUAAUACACCAAUUUUAUCAUUGGUUCCCUUAAAUUGCAUUUGUUUUUUUGGAUGAAAUAAAACACCUAUACGGAGCUCAACAGUGUAGGAUUUUGCUGGGAAGUUAAAGCUUUCUCUGAUGCUACUUAGAAACAGCUGGCAUUUGCUUGUAAGUUUGCAAAAGAAAAUAUAUUUUUUAAUAUGAUAUUGUGCUUACGAAAUACUUAUAAAUCAAAAAAAAACAGUGUUUAUUUGACAAUGCGGAUGUAGAACUGCAUUUAUUAACUUUUCUACAUGAGUCUUUACUCUUUUACUCUGUAAACAAUUAAGUACAUAAGAUUCAAAGGCUAAGGCAGACUUUACUAAAUCAUUGCCUUUCAUGUAAAAUAGCUAUAAAAGACAGUUAAGCACAUAUUUCACCCAAAACAGAAGAAGAUGUAAUGACAUUCAGUAGUUAGAAAAACCUUUUGAAGGGUAUUUGCAGUAGGUGAUAUAAACUGAGGUUGAGAAAGGAACAAACUUGGAAGAAAGAAUCAAUCCAGAUUUAGAAGCGUGAAGAAUGGGUUAGAAGAUUGCUGGAAAAGUGCUUGCUGUAAACAAGGAAACUCCCUUCAUUUGUUUUCAUCCCUCUUGUGUUCAAGAGGGUUCAGAUGCUUAUAAAACAGGAACAGUAUCAAAUGCAUACUGUCACCUAGCUUUUUCACAAUUUCUUAUUCUGCCAUAUUUAUCUUCAAUUUAUCUUCUCUUUCUGGUCAGGAAGAUAACCCCGGUGCUAGAAACAAGGUGUAUUGCCACAAAGAUAUGUUAUGAGUUAGGACUCACAUGUUGUAAUCUGGAACAAAUAGUGGACAUGCGGUCAGACAAUACAAAGAUCAUUAUAUCUUUGUUACUAUAGAGAGAAGAAAAAAAUAUGAUAUCCCAUUGAACACUUUUGUUUGAACAAUGACUGCAAAAUAUCUAAGCAAGCUGAAAAGCACAGUUACAAAAUUCUACUCUGUAAUAAUAAUAAAGUUUAAACAGAGGGCCAUUUGGCCAGAGAUCAGGAUGUCCCCGCUUACAUGAACAGCUAUGAGGAUAGCUUAGUGUCUUACAUUGAUAGCUUAGUGUCUUACAUUGUGCAUUGUAGCACAAAUAAAUGGUUAGGUGUUAAAGCGUAUCUUAACAGCAAAGCUAAGAAACCAAGUCUAAUAAAACUGAAGAAUUGUACUCUCAGAAAACAGAUUGCCCUAGAAAUGAUGCAAGUCCUGGACAUGCAGUGGAAAUUCAACUAGCCAAAGUGUGAUGCCAAAAGCUAAAUACUGAGGAAAAUAAUCAGCUGUCUCUGAGCUGGUGGACGUCCUGUGGAGGUCUACAGCCAUACCAAGGGCUGUAAAGAUAAACUGGAAAAGCAAUUUAUGAGUGUUUAACUGGACUUGAACUUAAAUUACAAAAUCCUAAACACUAAGGAUGUGAGCCAACAAUUUGCCCUUGCCUCAAAGAAGGCUAAUGGCAUCCUGGGUAAAGCAUAGCCAGCAGUUGAUGGAAGAGAUCCUUCCCCUUGGCUCAUCCCCAUGAUGAUUUCUGUGAGGCUUUAGUGCAUAGUUCUGAUGAGAAGAAAGACACCAGACUCUACACAGAAUAAGGUGGAAUAUUUCUGAACACUUAUGGAUGGUAAAAUAGGCGAUACCCAGGGGGAUUUUGCAGCUCAUUGUGACCUCUGGCACACAAUGUUCAAAUUGAGCAUAAGGAAGUAUAAGAAAGCUUCAAAGAUGGUGGAGGAUCGUAGUUUUCAUAGCAGAUAAUUUAGAGGUGAAUUUGGGGCUGUAUGCCUGUCUGAUCUGAGGCUUUGUAGCAGUACUCUGUGGUGGGUUGCUGGCUUCUUCUAGGUCUCGAGGUCUGUUAAUAUUGAUACAUCAGAAAGGGGCAGGUUUGACAUAUUCACCUACUGCCUGCAUAAUUUUAUUGCAAGCCCUUUGGAAAUCAGUAGGAUGCCCAUUGACUCAGCACAGAACACUAAAGGCAGUACUUUACUGCAAAAAGUGGAAGGGCAUGUUAUCCAUGUGGUGUGGAUAACAUUUAUGAACAAAAUAAACUGGUGUACUUGUAGAUUGGCAGUGCAUGGAGCUGAAAGCUGACAGCUUGAACUGGAAUA